UACAGGAAGGCAGCAGUGAAAUUUUGGACGUGGAAGCCUGAUCAGCCAUCCGCGUGUGCGAUGAAGGCCUUCGGGUUCUUAAAGCUGCUUUGGCAGGGGAAAGAAAUGGCGCAGGGAUAGCCCUUAACAAACUGACAAAUGCCUGCAGAAUAAGCACCGGCUAACUACGUGCCAGCAGCCGCGGUAAUACGUAGGGUGCAAGCGUUAAUCAGAUUACUAUGGGCGCGUAAAACAUUGCGCAGGCGGUUCGGAAAGAGAGAUGUGAAAAUCCCAGAGCUUAACUUUGGAACUGCAUUUUUAACUACCGAGCUAGAGUGUGUGGAGAGGGAGGUGGAGAUUCCUAAGCGAUGUAGCAGUGAAAUGCGUAGAUAUGCGGAGGAACACCGAUGGCGAAGGCAACCUCCUGGGAUAGCACUGACGCUCAUGCACGAAAAGCGUGGGAGCAAAACAGGAUUAGAUACCCGUGAUU
rnacentral:misc_RNA from 1 species